GACAGAGGGUGCAAACGUUGUUCGGAAUUACUGGGCGUAAAGCGUGUGUAGGCGGCCGCGCAAGUCGGAUGUGAAAUCCCCGGGCUCAACCCGGGAAGGGCACCCGAAACUGCACGGCUCGAGUACCGGAGAGGUUGGUGGAAUUCUCGGUGUAGCGGUGAAAUGCGCAGAUAUCAGGAAGAACACCCGUGGCGAAGGCGGCUCUCUGGGACGGUACUGACGCUGAGACGCGAAAGCGUGGGGAGCGAACAGG
rnacentral:rRNA from 1 species